GACGAACGCUGGCGGCGUGCUUAACACAUGCAAGUCGAACGGAAAGGCCCUGCUUUUGUGGGGCGCUCGAGUGGCGAACGGGUGAGUAACACGUGAGUAACCUGCCCUUGACUUUGGGAUAACUUCAGGAAACUGGGGCUAAUACCGGAUAGGAGCUCCUGCUGCAUGGUGGGGGUUGGAAAGUUUCGGCGGUUGGGGAUGGACUCGCGGCUUAUCAGCUUGUUGGUGGGGUAGUGGCUUACCAAGGCUUUGACGGGUAGCCGGCCUGAGAGGGUGACCGGCCACAUUGGGACUGAGAUACGGCCCAGACUCCUACGGGAGGCAGCAGUGGGGAAUAUUGCACAAUGGGCGGAAGCCUGAUGCAGCAACGCCGCGUGCGGGAUGACGGCCUUCGGGUUGUAAACCGCUUUCGCCUGUGACGAAGCGUGAGUGACGGUAAUGGGUAAAGAAGCACCGGCUAACUACGUGCCAGCAGCCGCGGUGAUACGUAGGGUGCGAGCGUUGUCCGGAUUUAUUGGGCGUAAAGGGCUCGUAGGUGGUUGAUCGCGUCGGAAGUGUAAUCUUGGGGCUUAACCCUGAGCGUGCUUUCGAUACGGGUUGACUUGAGGAAGGUAGGGGAGAAUGGAAUUCCUGGUGGAGCGGUGGAAUGCGCAGAUAUCAGGAGGAACACCAGUGGCGAAGGCGGUUCUCUGGGCCUUUCCUGGCGCUGAGGAGCGAAAGCGUGGGGAGCGAACAGGCUUAGAUACCCUGGUAGUCCACGCUGUAAACGGUGGGUACUAGGUGUGGGGUCCAUUCCACGGGUUCCGUGCCGUAGCUAACGCUUUAAGUACCCCGCCUGGGGAGUACGGCCGCAAGGCUAAAACUCAAAGGAAUUGACGGGGCCCCGCACAAGCGGCGGAGCAUGCGGAUUAAUUCGAUGCAACGCGUAGAACCUUACCUGGGUUUGACAUGGAUCGGGAGUGCUCAGAGAUGGGUGUGCCUCUUUUGGGGUCGGUUCACAGGUGGUGCAUGCCUGUCGUCAGCUCGUGUCGUGAGAUGUUGGGUUAAGUCCCGCAACGAGCGCAACCCUUGUUCACUGUUGCCAGCACGUUAUGGUGGGGACUCAGUGGAGACCGCCGGGGUCAACUCGGAGGAAGGUGGGGAUGACGUCAAGUCCUCAUGCCCCUUAUGUCCAGGGCUUCACGCAUGCUACAAUGGCUGGUACAGAGAGUGGCGAGCCUGUGAGGGUGAGCGAAUCUCGGAAAGCCGGUCUCAGUUCGGAUUGGGGUCUGCAACUCGACCUCAUGAAGUCGGAGUCGCUAGUAAUCGCAGAUCAGCAACGCUGCGGUGAAUACGUUCCCGGGGCU
rnacentral:rRNA from 1 species